rnacentral:rRNA from 1 species
GGGGCGCGGAUGAACUAGCAUGCGAGUCAUUGUAGCAAUACAAGGCAGGCGGCUCAGUAACGCGUAGUCAACCUAACCUAUGGACGGGAAUAAUCUCGGGAAACUGAGAAUAAUGCCCGAUAGAACACUAUAUCUGGAAUGGUUUGUGUUCCAAAUGAUUUAUCGCCAUAGGAUGGGACUGCGGCCUAUCAGUUUGUUGGUGAGGUAAUGGCCCACCAAGGCUAUUGCAGGUACGGGCUCUGAGAGGAGUAGCCCGGAGAUGGGUACUGAGACACGGACCCAGGCCCUAUGGGGCGCAGCAGGCGAGAAAACUUUGCAAUGUGCGAAAGCACGACAAGGUUAAUCCGAGUGGUUUCUGCUAAAGGAACCUUUUGUCGGUCCUAGAAACACCGAUGAAUAAGGGGUGGGCAAGUUCUGGUGUCAGCCGCCGCGGUAAAACCAGCACCUCAAGUGGUCAGGAUGAUUAUUGGGCCUAAAGCAUCCGUAGCCGGCUCUGUAAGUUUUCGGUUAAAUCUGUACGCUUAACGUACAGGCUGCCGGGAAUACUGCAUAGCUAGGGAGUGGGAGAGGUAGACGGUACUCGGUAGGAAGGGGUAAAAUCCUUUGAUCUAUUGAUGACCGCCUGUGGCGAAGGCGGUCUACCAGAACACGUCCGACGGUGAGGGAUGAAAGCUGGGGGAGCAAACCGGAUUAGAUACCCGGGUAGUCCCAGCUGUAAACUAUGCAAACUCAGUGAUGCAUUGGCUUGAUGCCAAUGCAGUGCUGCAGGGAAGCCGUUAAGUUUGCCGCCUGGGAAGUACGUACGCAAGUAUGAAACUUAAAGGAAUUGGCGGGGGAGCACCACAAGGGGUGAAGCCUGCGGUUCAAUUGGAGUCAACGCCGGG